AGAUUAUUUGUGUUCUAUCGGUAUUUCUUAGACGUAUUAGCAGCUAAAGGUACUACUUUUCCGAUAGCCGUAGAUAAAGUACAUACAGGUUGGGAUAGAGCCUACAUUUAGGUUGUUGGUUAGUGUUGCAGAUUUUUACAAGUUUUUAAGCUAGAAGUCCCAUCUAUUAGAAACUUUGGUCGGGUACAUGGAAUUGGUGUUCAUCCCAAGAUCGCUCUAUUUAUAUGGAAAAUAGCAUGCAAUUGACUUCUAUAUCAUGGCAUUUUAUACUAGCACGGUCUCUAUAUGCCAAUUAUUAUGACUUAUGCCCU
rnacentral:lncRNA from 1 species